rnacentral:rRNA from 1 species
GUCCUCUUGAACUAAUAUUUUGAGGUCUGGCCUGCUCACUGAAAAAUUUAAAGAGCCGCGGUAUUUUGACCGUGCAAAGGUAGCAUAAUCAUUAGUCUUUUAAUUAAGGGCUGGAAUGAAUGGCUUGACGAGAAAUUAACUGUCUCUUAAUAAUUUAUAUAAUUUAACUUUUAAGUCAAAAGGCUUAAAUUUUUCUUUAGGACGAGAAGACCCUAUAGAGCUUGACAUUUUAUUUAUAUAUAGUUUUUAGUUGGUCUUUCUAUAUAUAAUGAUAAUGUUUUGUUGGGGUGACAUGAAGAAUAAAUAAACUCUUCAUUAUAAAAUCAUUUAUUUAUGUUUAUUUUGAUCCAUAAUUUAUGAUCAUAAGAUUAAGUUACCUUAGGGAUAACAGCGUAAUUGUUUUUGAGAGCUCAUAUUAACAAAGCAGAUUGCGACCUCGAUGUUGGAUUAAGAAAAGUUUUGGGUGCAGUAGCUCAUUAACUAGGUCUGUUCGACCUUUAAA